rnacentral:rRNA from 1 species
AACGCGAAGAACCUUACCUACUCUUGAAUCCAGAGAAUCUUUCAGAAAUGAGGGAGUGCCUUCGGGAGCUCUGAGACAGGUGCUGCAUGGCUGUCGUCAGCUCGUGUCGUGAGAUGUUGGGUUAAGUCCCGUAACGAGCGCAACCCUUAUCCUUAGUUACCAUCGAGUAAAGUCGGGGACUUUAAGGAGACUGCCGGUGAUAAACCGGAGGAAGGUGGGGAUGACGUCAAGUCCUCAUGGCCCUUACGAGUAGGGCUACACACGUGCUACAAUGGCCGGUACAAAGGGUAGCGAACCCGCGAGGGGGAGCCAAUCUCAAAAAGCCGGUCAUAGUCCGGAUUGGAGUCUGCAACUCGACUCCAUGAAGCUGGAAUCGCUAGUAAUCGCGGAUCAGAACGCCGCGGUGAAUACGUUCCCGGGCCUUGUACACACCGUGUCGA